GACGGAGGAUGCAAGUGUUAUCCGGAAUCACUGGGCGUAAAGCGUCUGUAGGUGGUCCAAUAAGUCAACUGUUAAAUCUUGGGGCUCAACCUCAAAAUCGCAGUCGAAACUAUUAGACUAGAGUAUAGUAGAGGUAAAGGGAAUUUCCAGUGGAGCGGUGAAAUGCGUAGAUAUUGGAAAGAACACCGAUGGCGAAGGCACUUUACUGGGCUAUUACUAACACUCAGAGUCUAAAACUAGGGUUGAAAAUAGG
rnacentral:rRNA from 1 species